rnacentral:rRNA from 1 species
AUGCAGCGACGCCGCGUGAGGGAUGACGGCCUUCGGGUUGUAAACCUCUUUCACCAGGGACGAAGCGUGAGUGACGGUACCUGGAGAAGAAGCACCGGCCAACUACGUGCCAGCAGCCGCGGUAAUACGUAGGGUGCGAGCGUUGUCCGGAAUUACUGGGCGUAAAGAGCUCGUAGGCGGUUUGUCGCGUCGUCUGUGAAAUUCUGCAACUCAAUUGCAGGCGUGCAGGCGAUACGGGCAGACUUGAGUACUACAGGGGAGACUGGAAUUCCUGGUGUAGCGGUGAAAUGCGCAGAUAUCAGGAGGAACACCGGUGGCGAAGGCGGGUCUCUGGGUAGUAACUGACGCUGAGGAGCGAAAGCGUGGGUAGCGAACAGGAUUAGAUACCCUGGUAGUCCACGCCGUAAACGGUGGGUACUAGGUGUGGGUUCCUUUUCACGGGAUCCGUGCCGUAGCUAACGCAUUAAGUACCCCGCCUGGGGAGUACGGCCGCAAGGCUAAAACUCAAG